rnacentral:tRNA from 1 species
UCCUUCGUUGUGUAGUGGUCAGCACGCUCGACGUGUAACCGAGAGGCCCAUGGUUCGAGUCCAGGCGAAGGCG